UACGUAGGGUGCGAGCGUUGUCCGUAAUUACUGGGCGUAAAGAGCUCGUAGGUGGUUUGUCACGUCGUCUGUGAAAUUCCGGGGCUUAACCUCGGGCGUGCAGGCGAUACGGGCAAUACUUGAGUGCUGUAGGGGAGACUGGAAUUCCUGGUGUAGCGGUGAAAUGCGCAGAUAUCAGGAGGAGCACCAAUGGCGAAGGCAGGUCUCUGGGCAGUUACUGACGCUGAGGAGCGAAAGCAUGGGUAGCGAACAGGAUUA
rnacentral:rRNA from 1 species